rnacentral:rRNA from 1 species
AGUAAUGUCUGGGAAACUGCCUGAUGGAGGGGGGUAACUACUGGAAACGGUAGCUAAUACCGCAUAAUGUCGCAAGACCAAAGUGGGGGACCUUCGGGCCUCACGCCAUCAGAUGUGCCCAGAUGGGAUUAGCUAGUAGGUGGGGUAACGGCUCACCUAGGCGACGAUCCCUAGCUGGUCUGAGAGGAUGACCAGCCACACUGGAACUGAGACACGGUCCAG